rnacentral:ribozyme from 1 species
GCCUCGCGCACCUUCACAGGUUCCGAAUGUUACAAAAGAAAGACAACAAAAGACAUGAUAAUAAAAAUACAAAAAUAUAUUUGUGUUUAUCGACUUUUUUGAUUUGCCACUUUCGGAAGCAGCGAUCUAACGAAUUCUUCAAUUCUUGCUUAUCUCAGGGUAGCAACGCGUGCGUGAAAAGGAUUGCGGGAGAGGGAGAGAAAAAGAAUUUGAGUUGUGGACCUUUUCUUUGUCUUCAUCCUA